ACGAACGCUGGCGGCGUGCCUAAUACAUGCAAGUCGAGCGCGGGAAGCGGACUCGUCACCCGUCGGGGUGUCUAGUCCGUGGAACGAGCGGCGGGAUGGGUGAAUAUCACGUGGGCAACCUGCCUGUAGGAUUGGGAUAACUCGCGGAAACGUGAGCUAAUACCGAAUGAAGUCUUUCACCACCUGGUGAAAGGAUGAAAGAUGGCUUUUAGCUAUCACUUACAGAUGGGCCCGCGGCGCAUUAGCUAGUUGGUGGGGUAAAGGCCUACCAAGGCGACGAUGCGUAGCCGACCUGAGAGGGUGAUCGGCCACACUGGGACUGAGACACGGCCCAGACUCCUACGGGAGGCAGCAGUAGGGAAUCUUCCGCAAUGGACGAAAGUCUGACGGAGCAACGCCGCGUGAGUGAUGAAGGUCUUCGGAUCGUAAAACUCUGUUGCCAGGGAAGAACAAGUUGUGUUCUAACAGGACAUGACCUUGACGGUACCUGACCAGAAAGCCCCGGCUAACUACGUGCCAGCCGCUGC
rnacentral:rRNA from 1 species